UCCCCGAUAGUCUAGUGGUGAGGAUAUCUGCUUGUCAACCGGGACUUUACUCCCAAGUCGAUUCGCAGGGGACCGGGGUUCAAUUCCCCGUCGAGGAG
rnacentral:tRNA from 1 species